CACCUUCUGCCGUGAUUGUGAGGCCUCCCCAGCCAUAUGGAACUAUUACUGGACUGUGAUGAGCUCCAUCUGGACUUGAAUGAAAGGAAUGCUAAUCAUCCUGGAUGUGGAUCCGGGCAAGACCCUGUGCUGUCUUCCUCUGGGAACAGGAUGAGUGAGAAAUUAUCUCUUGCGUAUUCUCUGUCCAUGUGAUUUGUGUGGGAUUGACGCCAACUACAGGUUCCAGGCAUGAGAAAACGAUCUGAACCUGGCCAGUAAGAGCACGUUCUUCCCAGCCACAUUGACUGUUUCAUGCAUAGUCAUCAAAAGGAAAGCACAGAUAAAAGAGGGAAAGGGAAGAUUCUUGAUUACAUUGUUUGAACUCACAGAAAUAGUAAUGCUAAAUCAUUGCUAACACUAGCAUUUUCAAUAAGUGUAAGGGCUAUGUCUGUCUUGAUUACUAUAUUAUUCACAUGUAAUAGGAAAGUACCUAGAAGAUAACGGGAAGAUAACUAUUUGUUUAAUUGAAUUAAAUCAAAUUCAAUUUAAUAUUUUAAGAUUUUCCUGGACUGUAAAAUAUAAUUUUGAUGAAAGGAGAAAAGAGCAAAUUGUAUCACACAAUGAAAUGUGUGCUAAGUAGCCCUGAAUUAAUUGGUUUUCCUUUCAUUAGACAUUUCACCUUAAAUCUUACAAUUUCUUAUCAUUUUUAUGGUCUCAGCUCGAAUUUAAAGCCAAAGUACAAGAGGAAAGGCCUGUAUCACACAAGUCCACUUAUUUCCUCACAGUAUUCAGAAGACUUUAUUAUCAUCAUAUUAGAGUUUUUUUUCUACAUCUUAUUUUAUGUACUUCUUUUAUUCGGUACAUAGUUUAUUAGUGAGAUACGCUCCAUUGUUUCCUCUUUAUUUAUAGGCAAAAAACUUGGUGAGUAGCUAUUUCACAAAGGGGGAACAGGAAAAUUAGAAGUUGGGGGUAGGAAGAGAAGGAGUUAAGUUUUGAAUGUAUUGGAAUGAGGUAUCAUGGGAUAUCUGGGUGGCGGUAUCUCUCACAUACAGUCUGCAGUUUAAAAGAAAGCUUUGUGUUGGAAAUCACAUUUCAGAGUUAUCAUGUUGUAGAUGUUAAGUAGUUGUACACAGAUCAGUACAAGAGCCCAUUCAAGGUGAACAUCUAGACUAAGAAAUGGAAAAUGCAACUGGGACAAAAGAAUGUUUAAGAGUUACAGGCCAGGCGCAGUGGCUCACGCCUGUAAUCCCAGCACUUUGGGAACCCAAGACAGGCGGAUCACGAGGUCAAGAGAUCAAGACCAACCUGGCCAACAUGGUGAAACCCUGUCUCUACUAAAAAUACAAAAAUUAGCUGGGCAUGGUGGUGCGCACCUGUAGUCCCAGUUACUUGAGAGGCUAAGGCAGGAGGAUCGCUUGAACCUGGGAGGCAGAGGUUUCAGUGAGCCGAGAUCAUGCCACUGCACUCCAGCCUGGUGACAGAGUGACACUCCAUUUUAAAAAAAAAAAAAAAGAAUAAGGGGUACAAAGAAGAGCACACAGAAAGGUAAACAUAACAGCAGACAAGACAGAAAAUAUUUCAUGAAGCACAAUUAAUGUGAACUGAACACAAGUUGAGUAAAAUUCAUUAAUUCUUUUGUUCAAUGAACAUUUAUUAAACCACUACUGUGUGUCAGGUACUUUUCUCAAUGUUGAUGAAACAGGACGGUAUGAAACAGGGCAGAAAAAGUCUCUGUUCUCCUAGACCUUAUAGUUGCUCAGUCCUCUGCCUGCUACGCACUGGCAUUACAGAAGAGCAUAGACAAGGAGCCCAUCAAUGGAGCAAGAAGUGUCGUCCCAUUUAUGCAAAGAAUAUCCAUCCCUAAUUCGGGAUAUUGUAAGACUUUCCAGGAAGAACAUGCUAUCACCAUAUUGACCAGAAUCAAGAGGAGAGAUUGAUUGAAAAUGCCCAUUGGAUUGAGUGCCAUAAUCUUGAAGGACUCCCUGACAUAAGGUAAAAAACUUGCAGAGGGGGUGGUGUGACUGUACUGGGUACCCAUGGUAAGGGGACCACAGGAAAAAUCAUACUUGUUACCACACCAACUGAACUCAAAUGUUGUAGGUGGAGGUGGCAUCAUGUUCAGAGCAGUCACAGGUAACAGCUGACAAAUGGACCCAAACAGAGCUGAAGCACAAAAUUUGGCCCUUAAUGUAACUUUUCUUCCAUAUGAGUAUCAGUAGCCCAAGACCAGCAUUUCAACACUGGUCUACUUAUUCAGUCUCAUGCUAUAACGGGAUAGGAACAUAAUGUCGGCCAGCAAAGUCAGUCUGGUCACCAGACUGUUCUCCUGAAACCAGGUGCCUGAGACAGCCACAUGAGGGAGUCUCAGAGCAUCUCAGGACAUCUGGUAAAUGCCACAUAGGGAGUUAGUGGUUGCGAAGCUCUCCAAAAGAAAAAAAAAAAAAUAGGAACCUUAACUUGUAAAAUUCACAGUGGAAGUUCAGGACACACCGUUGCGAUGGUACUGCCAGUGCCAACAAGAUUUAAACUUUGAAGGAAGACAUUUUUGGUCCCAGAGCAGUGAGCAUAUGGAGCUCUGACAAGAUGGCACUGCUGGCCCUGGCUGGUCUCAGCCACCGAAAGGAGACUUACAAAAAUUGAGAAAAGCCAUCCAAAACACAGGGUACCCAGAGAUACUAUUCUGGGACAAAGGCCCUGCUUUCAGGGUCCUGGCGUCAUACCACACCACACUGCCCAAAUACACUGCUAGCCCUCAAAUCCUUGUCUCAGGGUCAGCAUCUAAAACAGGGUCAUUUAAAAUUAAGAAAGUCAAUAUUUAAAUAACCAACAUAAAUGAUUGCUUAUCCUGACUGAAUUUGGUGCAAA